UACGUAUGGUGCAAGUGUUAUCCGGAUUUACUGGGUGUAAAGGGAGCGUAGACGGAGUGGCAAGUCUGAUGUGAAAACCCGGGGCUCAACCCCGGGACUGCAUUGGAAACUGUCAAUCUAGAGUACCGGAGAGGUAAGCGGAAUUCCUAGUGUAGCGGUGAAAUGCGUAGAUAUUAGGAGGAACACCAGUGGCGAAGGCGGCUUACUGGACGGUAACUGACGUUGAGGCUCGAAAGCGUGGGGAGCAAACAGG
rnacentral:rRNA from 1 species